CCCAAAGUCAUGGUUAAGUGGGAAACGAUGUGGGAAGGCACAGACAGCCAGGAUGUUGGCUUAGAAGCAGCCAUCAUUUAAAGAAAGCGUAAUAGCUCACUGGUCGAGUCGGCCUGCGCGGAAGAUGUAACGGGGCUAAACCAUGCACCGAAGCUGCGGCAGCGACACUUAGGUGUUGUUGGGUAGGGGAGCGUUCUGUAAGCCGUUGAAGGUGACCUGUGAGGUGCUGGAGGUAUCAGAAGUGCGAAUGCUGACAUAAGUAACGAUAAUGCGGGUGAAAAACCCGCACGCCGGAAGACCAAGGGUUCCUGUCCAACGUUAAUCGGGGCAGGGUGAGUCGGCCCCUAAGGCGAGGCUGAAAAGCGUAGUCGAUGGGAAACAGGUUAAUAUUCCUGUACUUGGUGUUACUGCGAAGGGGGGACGGAGAAGGCUAGGCUAGCCGGGCGACGGUUGUCCCGGUUUAAGCAUGUAGGCGGAGUGACUUGGUAAAUCCGGUUACUUAUCAACGCUGAGGUGUGAUGACGAGCCACUACGGUGGUGAAGUAGUUGAUGCCAAGCUUCCAGGAAAAGCCUCUAAGCAUCAGGUAACAUUAAAUCGUACCCCAAACCGACACAGGUGGUCAGGUAGAGAAUACUCA
rnacentral:rRNA from 1 species